rnacentral:rRNA from 1 species
CACGUAGGCGGUCCCGUAAGUCAGCUGUGAAAUCCCCCGGCGCAACCGAGGAACUGCAGCUGAUACUGCUGGACUAGAGUGCGCGAGGGGAGAGCGGAAUUCCUGGUGGAGCGGUGAUAUGCGUAGAUAUCAGGAGGAACGCCGGAGGCGAAAGCGGCUCUCUGGCGCGCAACUGACGCUGAGGUGCGAAAGCUAGGGGAGCGAACAGGAUUAGAUACCCUGGUAGUCC